AUCAUAUAAUCAAUAAUAUAAUAAGAGUAGAGGGAGACAGGCCAGUACAGCCCGAUCCGGUUGGGGAGAGUUCUAGCCCGACCAGGCUCCUCUCCUUAACCUGUCUCUCUUAGUCAUGCUGUUAUAGUUCUAGACUGCUGGGGGAGUUCCUUCCUUCCUUUGACACACUGAGCUGUUCUCUCUUUCCAUUUCUUUACUUUUACUACUACUA